CAGUCGCCGCGGUAAUACAGAGGGUGCGAGCGUUAAUCGGAUUUACUGGGCGUAAAGCGCACGCAGGCGGUCUGUCAAGUCAGAUGUGAAAUCCCCGGGCUUAACCUGGGAACUGCAUUUGAAACUGGCAGGCUAGAGUCUUGUAGAGGGGGGUAGAAUUCCAGGUGUAGCGGUGAAAUGCGUAGAGAUCUGGAGGAAUACCGGUGGCGAAGGCGGCCCCCUGGACAAAGACUGACGCUCAGGUGCGAAAGCGUGGGGAGCAAACAGGAUUAGAUACCCCAGUAGUCCCUGUCUCUUAUAC
rnacentral:rRNA from 1 species